ACACUGGCACUGAAACACGGGCCAGACUCCUACGGGAGGCAGCAGUGGGGAAUCUUGCACAAUGGGGGAAACCCUGAUGCAGCGACGCCGCGUGAGCGAUGAAGCCCUUCGGGGUGUAAAGCUCUUUCGGCAGGGAAGAUUAUGACGGUACCUGCAGAAGCAGCUGCGGCUAACUACGUGCCAGCAGCCGCGGUAAUACGUAGGCAGCAAGCGUUGUUCGGAGUUACUGGGCGUAAAGGGUGUGUAGGCGGUGAUUUAAGUUUGGUGUGAAAUCUCCCGGCUUAACCGGGAGGGUGCGCCGAAUACUGAAUGACUUGGAGUGCGGGAGAGGAAAGUGGAAUUCCUGGUGUAGCGGUGAAAUGCGUAGAUAUCAGGAGGAACACCGGUGGUGUAGACGGCUUUCUGGACCGUAACUGACGCUGAGACACGAAAGCGUGGGUAGCAAACAGGAUUAGAUACCCUGGUAGUCCACGCCCUAAACGAUGCAUAUUUGGUGUGGGCAGUUCAUUCUGUCCGUGCCGGAGCUAACGCGUUAAAUAUGCCGCCUGGGGAGUACAGUCGCAAGGCUGAAACUCAAAGGAAUUGACGGGGGCCCGCACAAGCGGUGGAGCAUGUGGUUCAAUUCGACCACGCGAAGAACCUUACCUGGGCUCGAACGGCUGGUCAACGGAGGUGGAAACAUCUUUACCCCGCAAGGGGGUCCAGUCGAGGUGCUGCAUGGCUGUCGUCAGCUCGUGUCGUGAGAUGUUGGGUUAAGUCCCGCAACGAGCGCAACCCCUGUCCUGUGUUGCCAUCAUUCAGUUGGGAACUCGCAGGAGACCGCCAGCGAUAAGUUGGAGGAAGGUGGGGAUGACGUCAAGUCCUCAUGGCCUUUAUGUCCAGGGCUACACACGUGCUACAAUGGACGGUACAAUACGUCCCGAACCCGCGAGGGGGAGGCAAUCGGAAAAAACCGUUCUCAGUUCGGAUUGCAGGCUGCAACUCGCCUGCAUGAAGCUGGAAUCGCUAGUAAUGGCAGAUCAGCACGCUGCCGUGAAUACGUUCCCGGGCCUUGUACACACCGCCCGUCACAUCACGAAAGUGGAUUGUACUAGAAGUCUGCAGGCUGACCCGCAAGGGGGGCAGCGGCCCAAGGUAUGAUCCAUGAUUGGGGUGAAGUCGUAACAAGGUAGCCGUAGGAGAACCUGCGGCUG
rnacentral:rRNA from 1 species